AAAUAAGAAGCGAUUUAUUGCAAUUAGUUUCGACCUAAUCUUAGGUGUUUACCCUUAUUUA
rnacentral:tRNA from 1 species